AUAUUUAAUGCCUAUGUAUUUACCGCAAGAUUCGAUAUGACGAGGAAUCUUAAAAAAGUUUUUGGUUUUGAACUUGUUAACAAGGCCUUAAGCUAUCACAUCGAUUCUUCCUAAACACGAUUUGUGGGAAAUUUGCUGGCAGUUGUAUAGUUUCUUUUUGCGACGACGCAAUAAUUGAAGGGGCAGGCACAGGGGGCAGCUGUUGGCGAGAGAAUGGUGUCACGUAUCCUAAUGGAAUUUUGUAGUGCCAUUUUCCAUAGCAGUGAUGUCAUAUACCAUUGCCCUGGGAUCAGAAAACCAUGUGGGCCAACUUCUUUGGGAUUAGACUGGCAUGUGGGACCAGCCUUUGGGAAAGAGGAGUUAUAAAAGGAAUCAUGCAGAGAGGAGAGAGCAUCAAACAAAACUUUAUUCAAAAACGAGGAAGGAGCUAGCGCUCCUCCUGGCAUCUCAGUUCCUCUAUAUUCAUUUGUUUCUACUCAUGUCAGUCAUUUGAUCUCCGUUGCUGGCCAUACAUGGAUGUGACAAGUGAUUAUCCAAGGUGAUUAUCAGAAAUUUGUGUGUGCUGUGCUUGGUGCGCCUGCAACUGUUCAUGUUCUCUUGGCUAAAAAGUUAUAGCUAAAAGUACAAAAGUACUGUUCGCUGAUUUUUUAUGAGAGAAAAACAAUAUAAGAUAGAUUCGGCAGAUAAGCUUAAGCGAUCUUCGGUGGUGGUGACAUCUGUUGCUAGUUUCAGUCUGCUGCCCAGACUGAGGCCACGAAGGAUUUUGUGGUCCACUAAUGAUCUGAACAACAGGUAAAUUGGUUUGUUCCAAUGAAAUUCUUUCAAGAUUAUUUAGAAUAAGUAUUGGUCGCAAAGAGUCAAAAGCACUUCUCCAAUUUCGUCCUCAGUGAAAAUCCAACAUUUUGUCAGAGCUAAGCACAGCUGUGUAGUGUAUGGAUAUCAGAUAUAAUCUGAAUAAGGUUAUUCAAAUCCACAAAUUUGAAUA